rnacentral:rRNA from 1 species
UACGUAGGGGGCUAGCGUUGUCCGGAUUUAUUGGGCGUAAAGAGCGUGUAGGCGGCCAUGUAGGUCCGGUGUGAAAACUCGAGGCUUAACCUCGAGAUGUCAUCGGAAACCAUUUGGCUAGAGUCCGGAAGAGGAGAGUGGAAUUCCUGGUGUAGCGGUGAAAUGCGCAGAUAUCAGGAAGAACACCAAUGGCGAAAGCAGCUCUCUGGGACGGUACUGACGCUGAGACGCGAAAGCGUUGGGGAGCGAACAGG